GCCAGGCGGUGGAGGCCCACCUGUAGUCUUAGCUACUCAGGAGACUGAGGCAGUGGGAUCCCUUAUGCCCAGGAGUUCUGGGCUGUAGUGUGCUAUGCCCAGCAGGUUGUCUGCACUAAAUUCAGCAUCAAUAUGGUGACCUCCCAGGAGCAGGGGACCACCAGGUUACCUAAAGAGGAGUGAACCAAUCUAGGUCAGAAACAGAGCAGGUCAAAACUUCCAUGCUGAUCAGUAGUGAGAUCACACCCGUGAAUGACUAGUGUUAAAGUGCUCUGCAGUCUGGGCAACAUAGUGAGACAACCCCCCAU
rnacentral:SRP_RNA from 1 species